UUCGCAAUGCCCGAAAGGGUGACGAAGCGACGCCGCGUGGGUGAGGAAGGCCUUCGGGUUGUAAAACCCUGUCAGGAGUUAUGAAAUGUAAGUGCGCUAAUAUCGUACUUAUUUGACAAAGGCUCCAAAGGAAGCCACGGCUAACUCUGUGCCAGCAGCCGCGGUAAUACAGAGGUGGCAAGCGUUGUUCGGAAUUAUUGGGCGUAAAGAGCACGUAGGUGGAUUUGUUAGUCAGAUGUGAAAGCCUUUUGUUCAACGGAAGAAUUGCAUCUGAAACUGCUAAUCUUGAGUAUAGGAGGGGAGAGUGGAACUUCUGGUGGAGCGGUGAAAUGCGUAGAUAUCAUAAGGAACGCCGGCGGCGAAAGCGACUCUCUGGCCUAUUACUGAGGCUGAGUGUGAAAAAGCUCGGGGAGCAAACGGGAUUAGAUACCCCGGUAGUCCUAGCCGUAAACGAUGGGCACUAAGUAAAGGGGAUUU
rnacentral:rRNA from 1 species